AAAAGAAAAGAAAAAUCGAUUACCAUCUCCCCUUCUCCCUUCACUCAAUCCACUAAAAUUUUAAAUGAAAAGCCCUUCCCUCUCGUCCUCUUUCCGCCACCGCAGCCAAUAAGGUAGAGUUUCAGCGGUUGCUAAAUGCUUAAAUAAGUAUUAGUAAAUUAGCAGCACUCUUUUUAGGUUAUAGCGACACUCUUUAACUGUCACUAUAUAUCAAGCGACCCCACAUGUAGCAACACUUUUUAAAAGUGUCGGUAAUUUAGGCAGCAACACUUUUUUUGACCUAUACCGACAUUUAAAAGUGUCGCUAUAGACCAUUUUUGUUGUAGUGAAUAUAUCAAAACUUUGGAAUUUACUAGCUCUGCUUAAUUAAUU
rnacentral:lncRNA from 1 species